UACGGAGGGUGCGAGCGUUGUCCGGAAUCACUGGGCGUAAAGGGCGCGUAGGUGGCGUCGCAAGUCAACGGUGAAAGCUCGACGCUUAACGCCGAGUCGGCCGUCGAGACUGCGAGGCUCGAGCACUGUAGAGGCUCAUGGAAUUCCGGGUGUAGCGGUGGAAUGCGUAGAGAUCCGGAAGAACACCGGUGGCGAAGGCGGUGAGCUGGGCAGUUGCUGACACUGAGGCGCGACAGCGUGGGGAGCAAACAGGG
rnacentral:rRNA from 1 species